rnacentral:misc_RNA from 1 species
AGCAGCCGCGGUAAUUCCAGCUCCAAUAGCGUAUAUUAAAGUUGUUGCAGCUAAAAAGCUCGUAGUUGAAUUUCGGGAUCAGUUGAUCGGUCGUGCCUCGGUACGUACUAGUCAAAUUGAUUCCUACCUUCUGACGAACCACGAUGUCAUUAAUUUGGUGUCGCGGGAAAUCAGGACUGUUACUUUGAAAAAAUUAGAGUGUUUAAAGCAGGCUCGCGCUUGAAUACAUUAGCAUGGAAUAAUGAAAUAGGACGUUUGAUUCUAUUUUGUUGGUUUCUAGGAUCGACGUAAUGAUUAAUAGGGAUAGUUGGGGGCAUUAGUAUUCAAUUGUCAGAGGUGAAAUUCUUGGAUUUAUUGAAGACUAACUACUGCGAAAGCAUUUGCCAAGGAUGUUUUCAUUAAUCAAGAACGAAAGUUAGGGGAUCGAAGACGAUCAGAUACCGUCGUAGUCUUAACCAUAAACUAUGCCGACUAGGGAUCGGAUGAUGUUAAUUUUUUAAUGACUCAUUCGGCGCCUUAC